UCAAAUUUUGAUAUGUGAAAACUGGUACCAUGCAGACAACAAAAUGUAGCAUAGAAAAAAUAAUUACUGCUGAUAACAAGAUUUAAUCUGUCAUUUACACUGAAAACUGAGCUGAAUGGGAGAAUCUCUUAUCAUGGCGGCUGAUGACGUGUAUGCGGCAAUUCAUUACAACUGCUGUGCCUAUAGCACUAAAUGGGUUACAGAGUAUCUAUAAUUUAAAUGUCGGGAGUGCAAGCGAAAUUUUGCACUGUGGUCAAAGGAAAAGGAAUACAUGUAUCUACCUUUUAGCAUCCCUGAUCUCCCCAAAAACUAUGAACAUUGUGCAAGAAUUGGAUACAUAACCUUGGAAAUGAAUAUUUUGUUUUUGAACGGCAUUUUGAGAAAGAUUCUUUUAAAGAGGAUAUCAGGCUAAUCCAUUUUCUUUUGGAAACCUAUUGACCAACCUGGACUAUUAGCAUCUAAGGAAACAGCUCAAUGAAGACAUCAAUAGUGACAAAACUAUCCCACUCUCAAUCCAUAUUGAAGAAUAAAUCAACUUUGUGCAACAUAUACAGAUAGAAUUGUCCAGUCAUUGUCCAUCAUAUGUGCUAAGGAAUGUUCAAGUGAAGAAUGAAGAAGUGAAGAUAAUGAACAAUCCUGUAUAAAGAAUUCAAAAUUAAAAGUUUAAGAAUUAAGAGUGUCGCUUUCAUCAAUCCAUCCCAAUUCACUAGUGUUUUCAUUUGAAGCUGCUAAUAAUUCCUCUUCAUUUUAAUCAGCCUCAUAUUGGUAUCCUUUGUAGUCAGACAUGAUCAGCUGCUUUC